GGACAAUAGACGAAAACAAUAUCUCUAUUUCGAAAAGAAAAUUGAAAUAGCUGACAAAACACAGACUAUAGAAGAAUGUCAAAUUUGUGUAAAUAAAGAUGGAAAAUACAGCAUAUACUACUCGAAAUAAAUGAGUAUACUGAAUAUUAGACAUACACAAAUCAAAACAAUAUAUCGAUUUCGAAAAGAAAAAUGAAAUAACUGACAAAACACAGACUGAAGAAGAAUGUCAAAUUGUGUAAAUAAAGACGGAAAAUACAGUGUAUACUCGAAGUAAAUGAGUAUACUGAAUAUUAGACAUACAUAAAUCCGAAUCAAACAUUAGCUGAUUCGUAAGUAACCGGGGGAUACCGACCAUUUUCCGUGCAAUUAGCAUUCGUGGAGUGCAAGUGAUGUUUGCGUUGGAUGUGGCGCCGAAUUAAUAUUCGUAGCGUUCCGGGAGGAGUGUCACGGGCAGGAUGGACGCUGUUCACGCAUGCCUUGACUUCAGCCAGAAUAAACGUCAUAGCCAGACAAGAACGAACUCGAAAGAGGGUUUCGACGUGUGUGUAAUGACGUCACAUUACUAAUUCAAUACGCAGCGAAGAUGUGAAAAUUUCCUAUGAUCCAAACAAAGGAGUGAAAAUUUAAUGAGUACUUUAAAUGAAAUUCACUGAAAUAUUCCUGUUGUUCGUUGGUUUGUGAAUUUUUUAAUUACUCUAUGAAUUUCGUUGUGCAUUUGUUCGGCACAACGUCGAUCUUGAUAAACAAAAAGUAUGUAUAAAAGAAGCAAAGUAAA